GAGUCCAAAUGAAAGUCCUUGUCAAAGUCAGCUAACUAUGGAAUUCCCCGAGCCUAAAAUGUGAGGAAAUGAGGGUGGUGAGAUUAUAAAAUCCCAGUGAGUAAACAGAUACCAUCUAAACUAUCUAAAGUCGAGUAAAUGGAGACAAUUAAAAUAAGUCAUCAUACUGUAAUUUCAUUACCUUUCAGUUCAUUUCAACCAAAUAAAAUCAAUCCAUAUAAAUCUAGUAAUCAACUUGGCUUAUGAAUUUCUUAAAACUUUGGCUCAUGCCAAAACUCAUACUCGGUGAUACCUUGCGCAGGGCAUCCAACCGAGUCCGCCAAGGCUGUUAAAAUUUUGUAUACACUUAAAAUAUAUUUUUAGUUUGAGAAAAAUACAGUCGUUCCUUGGCGUUGGCUGAGUUCCCCUUCACGUGGUGGUUUGGCGUGAAGUGAACCCUAAGCUUUACCCCAGG
rnacentral:lncRNA from 1 species